AUACAAUGGCUUGGUGAGAAAUAUAAAGUUGUGUUAAUUGUAUUGUUUGUUAUUGACUUGAUUUCUCUGUGAUUGACCAAGACUUUACUAUGCUUUUUGGAGAUGACAUUUCAAGCAAGUUUAUUGCAAAAUGGCCAACAUUCUAAAAGCCGAGAAUAAUUGCUGACUGCAAACCUGCAUCAUGAUUCACAUGUGGAUGACCUUUUGUCUGCUCUGGAUCAGUCUGAUUAUGGAUGGGAUGGUGAUGUGGCUACUGUUCUCUUGCCUCCAACUGUAAAGGAAGACUGGGAAAAUCAGUGCUACAGAAGCAGCAGAUCAUGUUGUAAAGUUCAUGAAGGUGGGGACAAGCAUCAAGGCAUUUCUUGAGCGAGCUGGAUCUACACAGCCCUUCCUCUGUGUUGGAGAAAAGAGGAGUAGCAUUCAGACGUUUUACAUAGUCCUGGACCAGAAGGCCAUUCCCUGCAUGGUGCAGACAGCUGUUGCAGCCUUUAAACUCUUUAAGGCACACUUUGUCUUUGCUGUAUCGGAUGAGGCCUUGUGCAACUUCUACGCGUUCAUUCAAACAACGGUGUAUGGAAUUGAUGUUGUCACUGCCAAGGAAAGUCCAAGGGUCAAGGAAAUCCGUGUGAAUUCACAACACUGAGGUUUGACUCCCCCUUCCCCCCCCAGCAUCUUGCUCAAAUGUUCUCAUGCUUUUGUUGCAAGGUACAUCACAGAAGAUGUUCAGGAUUUUUUCAGUAUCUGACAUUAUGCACUAUUUACUCGAAGGGGUUGUGCAGUAUGAGUUAAGACUGCUUUUUCAGUACUUUGUUAAAGACUGCAUUGUUAUCAGACACACUUUCAGAAAGAAUUCAGAGCUUUAAUUACACUGAAAGUGUUGCAUGCAAAACUGUUGCAAACAAUUUAUUUGUGUUGAAUCUAAAGGAACAAAUUAAAUUGAUCAAUGUUCAACUUAAUUUGUUUGUUUAAAUUCAGCCCAAAUAAAUUUAUAACCACUCAAUGUAAAAAAAAUUGAGAAUCCAAGGAAUCGUCUUUGAAUUUUUUUCAGUGUAUGGGUACAGUGAAAGAGGGAACGGACCAAGUGGAGUUAAAAUUGAAUGCCAUUCAGUCAUGGUGCCUUCUGCCCAAUACCCCCUUGUUAUUUGGAGAUCUAGUUGACAUGGACAAUGGUUAUGUAAUAUCUUGGCACUCUAUCACAUCCUCCAACCCACCAGGGGGCGCAGAUAUUGCCCUAUUCUCCUCCACAUUAGAUGGCGGUAGUGAUUCUUGUUCCUCUAAACUCCCCUGUAAUCAGCCUAAUCACCACCAGCUGUUCUUUGCUCUAUAUAAGACCGCUUCAUAUCCUGCUCUGUGUUCAGUCCUGAACUCUCUUGCUGCCUCGUCCAGAGUCCAAUUAAGCUAUUCUCAAGACUUUUUGCUUGCUAUAUUUCUGUUUGAUUGUUCUGAGACCCUCGUGUCUAUUUUGUAUGUAUUUUAGGAAGCUCGGCUUUCCUAUUUUUGUUGUACUUUUUCAACCCUGACUGUAGAGAUAUAUUGUCUCUCCUUGUAAAGUUCUCUUCAGUAAAGACUGUUUUUUUGGAAUUCA